rnacentral:rRNA from 1 species
UACGUAGGGAGCAAGCGUUGUUCGGAGUUACUGGGCGUAAAGGGUGUGUAGGCGGUUAUUUAAGUUUGGUGUGAAAUCUCCCGGCUCAACCGGGAGGGUGCGCCGAAUACUGAAUGACUUGGAGUGCGGGAGAGGAAAGUGGAAUUCCUGGUGUAGCGGUGAAAUGCGUAGAUAUCAGGAGGAACACCGGUGGUGUAGACGGCUUUCUGGACCGUAACUGACGCUGAGACACGAAAGCGUGGGUAGCAAACAGG